rnacentral:rRNA from 1 species
UACGUAGGGUGCAAGCGUUACUCGGAAUUACUGGGCGUAAAGCGUGCGCAGGCGGCUUUGCAAGACAGAUGUGAAAUCCCCGGGCUUAACCUGGGAACUGCAUUUGUGACUGCAUGGCUGGAGUGCGGCAGAGGGGGAUGGAAUUCCGCGUGUAGCAGUGAAAUGCGUAGAUAUGCGGAGGAACACCGAUGGCGAAGGCAAUCCCCUGGGCCUGCACUGACGCUCAUGCACGAAAGCGUGGGGAGCGAACAGG